rnacentral:tRNA from 1 species
AAGCCUAUAAUUUAAAGGUAGAAUGAUUCAUCGAUAAUGAAUAAGUAGGAGUUCAACUCUUCUUGGGCUUA